UACAGAGGUGGCAAGCGUUGUUCGGAAUUACUGGGCGUAAAGGGCGCGUAGGCGGUCUUGCAAGUCCCGUGUGAAAUCCCUCGGCUCAACUGAGGAAUGGCACGGGAAACUGCUUGGCUUGAGUUCGGGAGAGGGAAGCGGAAUUCCGGGUGUAGCGGUGAAAUGCGUAGAUAUCCGGAGGAACACCGGUGGCGAAGGCGGCUUCCUGGACCGACACUGACGCUGAGGUGCGAAAGCUAGGGGAGCAAACGGG
rnacentral:rRNA from 1 species